rnacentral:ncRNA from 1 species
GUGUGAAAGAAGAAAAGGUUAGCACUUCCCUUGAUGAGGACGGAAGAUGACUUAGUGGCCUGCACAACACAGGCACUGCCACCUCCUUCAUGCCAUCUAACCAUGUUUUU